rnacentral:lncRNA from 1 species
AUUUCAUCCACAUAACUAUAAUAACACGGUAAGCUGCAAAAUUGAAUACAGUUGCAUUUCAGUGCCCAAACCAAGUAUAGGUCACAAUAUGCACCAGCGAUCACAAGCACAGCAGUACAUGCCAUACGCAAGCAGCAAAACCAGGAUAUAAUAUAGCAAUAUAUAAAGUUCACAAGCUAGCAAUAACAAGAUAGCAUGGAUAAACUGAGGAUUAUACUUCAAGCAGCAGAGCCAAUGAAACCAGAUUGCAGAUGCAGCAGAGGCAGGAGCAGGUAGCUCAACUCGGCGAAGUUUGGGGGGCGCCACUGUUGGCAGGAGCUGGAGCAGGAGCGGCAGUUGCUGUGGUAGGCGCAGGUGCCACGGCGGAUUGAUCCAGGGACGCAGCAGUAGCUUCAGUAGAAUACGCUGUAGGCUGCCCAUAGCUACCAGUAGCAUAAGGAUCACCGUAUGACUGCUGCUGGCCAUAGCCUGGCUGGCUAGCAGUGGGUGCACCAGGGUAAGGCGGCGGUGCACCAUAGCCUUGCUGACUGUAUCCAUACUGCACAUAACCAGCCUGAGCAGGCAGUGGCUGUCCAUAAGUAGGAGCAGAUGAAGGCGGCUUCUGAGCCUGCGGAGGCUGCCCAUAAGCACCCUGACCGUACGGGCCCUGUGGUGGUGGCUGCGUACCAUAGCCAGGCUGUGUCUGUGGAGCAACGUAUCCAGAUGGAGGGGCAGAACCUUGCGCCGGGUAGCUUGACGCAGCAGCACUAGUAGGUGGUUGGCUAGGAUAACCCGGUUGGCCUCCAGAGGAUGGAGUGGAAGCUUGCUGCCCUGGAGAUGCUUGACCAACGCCGCCUGGACCACCAUAGCUAGGUGCAGUACCAUCCUGAGUUGAAUUAGCAGAUGAUCCAUAGCCAGAUGCCCCAUAGCUCUGCUGGUCAUAUCCAGGCUGCUGUGAGUAAGACUGCUGCUGCCCUUGGGUCUGGUAACCAGAGUAGUCAUAAGCUUGCUGCCCACCACUCUGCUGAGAGUAGGUAGGAUCACCAUACCCUUGUGAACCAUAACUAGCAGGAGGCUGGCUGUAAUUGUAGUUGCUACCAUCAGCAGGUGCAGCAGUUCCAGUGGCAGAUUGUUGCUGUUG